rnacentral:rRNA from 1 species
GCUACAGGCUUAACACAUGCAAGUCGAGGGGCAUCAGGAAGAAAGCUUGCUUUCUUUGCCGGCGACCGGCGCACGGGUGAGUAACACGUAUCCAACCUGCCCUUUACUCGGGGAUAGCCUUUCGAAAGAAAGAUUAAUACCCGAUAGCAUAAUGAUUCCGCAUGGUUUCAUUAUUAAAGGAUUCCGGUAAAGGAUGGGGAUGCGUUCCAUUAGGUUGUUGGUGAGGUAACGGCUCACCAAGCCUUCGAUGGAUAGGGGUUCUGAGAGGAAGGUCCCCCACAUUGGAACUGAGACACGGUCCAAACUCCUACGGGAGGCAGCAGUGAGGAAUAUUGGUCAAUGGGCGCUAGCCUGAACCAGCCAAGUAGCGUGAAGGAUGAAGGCUCUAUGGGUCGUAAACUUCUUUUAUAUAAGAAUAAAGUGCAGUAUGUAUACUGUUUUGUAUGUAUUAUAUGAAUAAGGAUCGGCUAACUCCGUGCCAGCAGCCGCGGUAAUACGGAGGAUCCGAGCGUUAUCCGGAUUUAUUGGGUUUAAAGGGAGCGUAGGAGGACUGGUAAGUCAGUUGUGAAAGUUUGCGGCUCAACCGUAAAAUUGCAGUUGAUACUGUCAGUCUUGAGUACAGUAGAGGUGGGCGGAAUUCGUGGUGUAGCGGUGAAAUGCUUAGAUAUCACGAAGAACUCCGAUUGCGAAGGCAGCUCACUGGACUGCAACUGACACUGAUGCUCGAAAGUGUGGGUAUCAAACAGGAUUAGAUACCCUGGUAGUCCACACAGUAAACGAUGAAUACUCGCUGUUUGCGAUAUACAGUAAGCGGCCAAGCGAAAGCAUUAAGUAUUCCACCUGGGGAGUACGCCGGCAACGGUGAAACUCAAAGGAAUUGACGGGGGCCCGCACAAGCGGAGGAACAUGUGGUUUAAUUCGAUGAUACGCGAGGAACCUUACCCGGGCUUAAAUUGCAGUGGAAUGAUGUGGAAACAUGUCAGUGAGCAAUCACCGCUGUGAAGGUGCUGCAUGGUUGUCGUCAGCUCGUGCCGUGAGGUGUCGGCUUAAGUGCCAUAACGAGCGCAACCCUUAUCUUCAGUUACUAACAGGUCAUGCUGAGGACUCUGGAGAGACUGCCGUCGUAAGAUGUGAGGAAGGUGGGGAUGACGUCAAAUCAGCACGGCCCUUACGUCCGGGGCUACACACGUGUUACAAUGGGGGGUACAGAAGGCAGCUAGCGGGUGACCGUAUGCUAAUCCCAAAAUCCUCUCUCAGUUCGGAUCGAAGUCUGCAACCCGACUUCGUGAAGCUGGAUUCGCUAGUAAUCGCGCAUCAGCCACGGCGCGGUGAAUACGUUCCCGGGCCUUGUACACACCGCCCGUCAAGCCAUGGGAGCCGGGGGUACCUGAAGUACGUAAAAGCAAGGAUCGUCCUAGGGUAAAACUGGU